rnacentral:rRNA from 1 species
GAUGAACGCUGGCGGCGUGCCUAAUACAUGCAAGUCGAGCGAACAGACGAGGAGCUUGCUCCUCUGACGUUAGCGGCGGACGGGUGAGUAACACGUGGAUAACCUACCUAUAAGACUGGGAUAACUUCGGGAAACCGGAGCUAAUACCGGAUAAUAUAUUGAACCGCAUGGUUCAAUAGUGAAAGACGGUUUUGCUGUCACUUAUAGAUGGAUCCGCGCCGCAUUAGCUAGUUGGUAAGGUAACGGCUUACCAAGGCAACGAUGCGUAGCCGACCUGAGAGGGUGGUCGGCCGCACUGGAACUGAGACACGGUCCAGACUCCUACGGGAGGCAGCAGUAGGGAAUCUUCCGCAAUGGGCGAAAGCCUGACGGAGCAACGCCGCGUGAGUGAUGAAGGUCUUCGGAUCGUAAAACUCUGUUAUUAGGGAAGAACAAAUGUGUAAGUAACUAUGCACGUCUUGACGGUACCUAAUCAGAAAGCCACGGCUAACUACGUG